GAUGAAGAACGUAGCGAAAUGCGAUACGUAAUGUGAAUUGCAGAAUUCAGUGAAUCAUCGAAUCUUUGAACGCAUAUUGCGCUCUCUGGUAUUCCGGAGAGCAUGCUUGUUUGAGUAUCAGUAAACACCUCAACUUCCAUAUCUUUUUUGAAAUGGGAGUUGGACUUGAGUGAUCCCAACGCUUUUCCUCACCGAAAAGUGGCGGGUUACUUGAAAUGCAGGUGCAGCUGGACUUUUCUCUGAGCUAUAAGCAUAUCUAUUUAGUCCUCGUCAAACAGGAUUAUUACUUUUGCUGCAGCUAACAUAAAGGAUAAUUGUCCUCUUUGCUGACUGAUGCAGGAUUUUACGACACUUUAUGUGUUGUUCAACUCGAUCUCAAAUCAAGUAAGACUACCCGCUGAACUUAAGCAUAUCAAUAAGCGGAGGA
rnacentral:misc_RNA from 1 species